rnacentral:rRNA from 1 species
UGGGGAAUAUUGCACAAUGGGCGGAAGCCUGAUGCAGCGACGCCGCGUGGGGGAUGAAGGCCUUCGGGUUGUAAACUCCUUUCGACAGGGACGAAGCUUUUGUGACGGUACCUGUAUAAGAAGCACCGGCUAACUACGUGCCAGCAGCCGCGGUAAUACGUAGGGUGCGAGCGUUGUCCGGAAUUACUGGGCGUAAAGAGCUCGUAGGUGGUUUGUCGCGUCGUCUGUGAAAUUCCGGGGCUUAACUCCGGGCGUGCAGGCGAUACGGGCUGACUUGAGUGCUGUAGGGGAGACUGGAAUUCCUGGUGUAGCGGUGAAAUGCGCAGAUAUCAGGAGGAACACCGAUGGCGAAGGCAGGUCUCUGGGCAGUAACUGACGCUGAGGAGCGAAAGCAUGGGUAGCGAACAGGAUCAGAUACCCUGGUAGUCCAUGCCGUAAACGGUGGGCGCUAGGUGUAGGGGGCUUCCACGUCUUCUGUGCCGUAGCUAACGCAUUAAGCGCCCCGCCUGGGGAGUACGGCCGCAAGGCUA